GGAAUUUAGCUCAGCGGUAGAGCGCUUGCCUAGCAAGCACAAGGCCCUGGGUUCAGUCCCCAGCUCCG
rnacentral:tRNA from 1 species